GCACACACAGCGGUGAGCUGAGUCUGGGCCUAUGAGGGUGAGCUGGUUCUGAACCCACAAGUGUGAACUGGGUCUGGGUCCACAAGGGUGAGCUGGGUCUGGGCCCACAGGGGUGAGCUGGGUCUGGACAGAGGGGUGAGCUGGGUCUGCACACAUGGAGGUGAGCUGGAUGGGCUGGGUCUGCACACAGCCUGGAGACCUUGGCUGGAGAGGCUAGUGAGGAGCCGCAGGCAUUUCAACACAUUUUUAUGUUUGGUUUGGACCAGAGAGACCUGGGUUGAAUUACCUGCCACUCAGUAGCUGUGUGACUUGCGGUACCUGAACCACCUGUCACUUCCAUUUCCUCAUCUAUAGAAUGAAAGGAAAUGGCUCCUAUGGCCCAUUGCAGUGGCCCUCUGAAGCCACUCCCCUCAUACCCAUGGUCAGUCCUAGAACUACCAUUGCCAGUGAUUGGAACACAGCCCAUACCUCAUCCUAAACCCCUCAAUUCUCAGACAGUGGUUUCCAAACUUCACAGCUCACAUUCUCUUGGGGUGGAUGGUCAAAUUAAACACAAGAUGCCCAGUUAAAUUUGAAUUUUAUAUAAAUAAUUUCAGAUACUUUUUAAAGACUGUGUCCAUACAACCCUUGGGGCACAUCUAUUCCAAAAUAUUAUUCAUUUUAUCCAUAGCAUGAAUUUCAAUGGUGAGAACCUCUGGUCCUAUAGUUGGUUGUUAGAGAAAGGCACUGAAGGCUGCGAGCCACCCUGCAGCCCCUUAGAUCACAUGACAUUUCCAGUUAUCUCUGUGCAAGGGACUCAGUGGACCAGGAGAAAAACUGUCAUUACCAAAAUUAGAUACAUAUAGCACACCACUCGCCGAGGGUUACAGAUAUCUUGUUCUUGUCAUGUACCAAUAUCCAAAACUUGAGCUUGGUGCUACAUCAGGGUAAGAACAUGGAGGAUUUCGGUCUCUAGGUAGUUAUGUAUGUGUUAUAGUUGUUGAAUCCUAAAUGCUUUGGUUUAAUUACAACCGAGGAGCCAGAAGUGAUUAUUUGGACCUGAGCUGCUCCUGAGCACCACUGUCUAAUGACAUUGGGAAAAAUGCAGUUGGACUUGCUUAGAACACAAGCCCUGACCAUUGUCUACUGACAAGACACAAUAUAAGGUAAGGAAGGAAGGAAGGACAGGAAGAAGGAAGGAAGGAAGAAAGGAAGGAAGGAAGAAAGGAAGGAAGGAAGAAAGGAAGAAAGGAAGGAAGAAAGGAAGGAAGGAAGAAAAGGAAGGGAGGAAGGAAGGAAGGAAGGGAAGGAAAAAGAGAAACAAAAGUCUAUGGCAAAAAGUAUAUUAUAAAAAUUCGAUUAUUUGUAACUUCCACCUCUAAAGAAUAAAUAAUAAGUA
rnacentral:lncRNA from 10 species